rnacentral:rRNA from 1 species
UACGAAGGGGGCUAGCGUUGCUCGGAUUUAUUGGGCGUAAAGAGCGUGUAGGCGGCUUGGCAAGUCCGCUGUGAAAACUCGAGGCUCAACCUCGAGACGUCGGUGGAAACUGCCUGGCUAGAGUCCGGAAGAGGAGAGUGGAAUUCCUGGUGUAGCGGUGAAAUGCGCAGAUAUCAGGAAGAACACCCGUGGCUAAGGCGGCUCUCUAGUACGGUACUGACGCUGAGACGCGAAAGCGUGGGGAGCGAACAGG